rnacentral:lncRNA from 1 species
UGGAUCACUAAAACCCUAGAGUAACAUUUAUCCAUUGCAGUCCUCCAACUCAGCACCCAUUGGAUCACUAAAACCGACUUUCAUCCCUGUUUGAGGAGUGGGUCUUGUGGUCAAGCUCCCUUGCAAGUUUAUUUAUGAGUGGGUCUUGUAGUCAAGCUCCCCUACUAGUUUAUUCUCUAAGUAUAUAAAAAAGUUGCAUAUAAAAUCCAAUCAUAAUAAAGACAAAAACUUAAAGCUGAAUAC